UACGUAGGGCGCAAGCGUUAUCCGGAAUUAUUGGGCGUAAAGAGCUCGUAGGCGGUUUGUCGCGUCUGCUGUGAAAGACCGGGGCUCAACUCCGGUUCUGCAGUGGGUACGGGCAGACUAGAGUGCAGUAGGGGAGACUGGAAUUCCUGGUGUAGCGGUGAAAUGCGCAGAUAUCAGGAGGAACACCGAUGGCGAAGGCAGGUCUCUGGGCGUGUAAACUGACGCUGGAGG
rnacentral:rRNA from 1 species